rnacentral:rRNA from 1 species
AUUGAACGCUGGCGGCAUGCCUUACACAUGCAAGUCGAACGGCAGCAUGGAGAGCUUGCUCUCUGAUGGCGAGUGGCGAACGGGUGAGUAAUGCAUCGGAACGUACCGUGUAAUGGGGGAUAACGUAGCGAAAGUUACGCUAAUACCGCAUACGACCUGAGGGUGAAAGCAGGGGAUCGCAAGACCUUGCGUUAUACGAGCGGCCGAUGUCAGAUUAGCUAGUUGGUGAGGUAAAGGCUCACCAAGGCGACGAUCUGUAGCGGGUCUGAGAGGAUGAUCCGCCACACUGGGACUGAGACACGGCCCAGACUCCUACGGGAGGCAGCAGUGGGGAAUUCUGGACAAUGGGGGCAACCCUGAUCCAGCCAUGCCGCGUGAGUGAAGUAGGCCUUCGGGUUGUAAAGCUCUUUCGGCCGGGAAGAAAUCGCACAGGCUAGUACUCUGUGUGGAUGACGGUACCGGCAUAAGAAGCACCGGCUAACUACGUGCCAGCCGCCGCAGUAA